rnacentral:rRNA from 1 species
CGACGCAGCAACGCCGCGUGUGUGAUGAAGGUCUUCGGAUUGUAAAGCACUUUCGACCGGGACGAAAACCCCCUGGCUAAUACUCAGGGGCUUGACGGUACCGGGAGAAGAAGCACCGGCUAACUCUGUGCCAGCAGCCGCGGUAAUACAGAGGGUGCAAGCGUUGUUCGGAAUUAUUGGGCGUAAAGCGCGUGUAGGCGGCUUUGCAAGUCGGGUGUGAAAGCCCUCAGCUCAACUGAGGAAGUGCGCCCGAAACUGCAGAGCUUGAGUGCCGGAGAGGGUGGCGGAAUUCCCCAAGUAGAGGUGAAAUUCGUAGAUAUGGGGAGGAACACCGGUGGCGAAGGCGGCCACCUGGACGGUAACUGACGCUGAGACGCGAAAGCGUGGGGAGCAAACAGGAUUAGAUACCCUGGUAGUCCACGCCGUAAACGAUGAGAACUAGGUGUCAUGGGUGUUGACCCCCGUGGUGCCGUAGCUAACGCAUUAAGUUCUCCGCCUGGGAAGUACGGUCGCAAGACUA